rnacentral:rRNA from 1 species
UACGAAGGGUGCAAACGUUGCUCGGAAUCAUUGGGCGUAAAGCGCACGUAGGCGGCUUUGCAAGUCUGACGUGAAAUCCCUCAGCUCAACUGAGGAAGUGCAUCGGAAACUGCAAGGCUUGAGUACUGAAGAGGAUCGCGGAAUUCCCGGUGUAGAGGUGAAAUUCGUAGAUAUCGGGAGGAACACCAGUGGCGAAGGCGGCGAUCUGGGCAGAUACUGACGCUGAGGUGCGAAAGCGUGGGGAGCAAACAGGG